rnacentral:lncRNA from 10 species
UAUACACUUAAUAGGAAAGUAGCCUCAAAUUCAUCCUAAGUUUUGGCAGCCAGCCUCCAAGGUGGCCCUGAUGAUUCUCACUUCAUGGUAUUCUAGCCCUGGGUAGUCUCCUCCCAUACUGAAGAGGGUUGACCUGUGUGGUCAAUGAGAUACUGUGGAAAUGGAGUCUUCCUAUUCACUUUGUGGGGGAAGCCAGCUACAUGAGAAUAUUCAGUAUAUGCAGAAGUCCACUUGCCUAGGAAGUGAGGUGUAGUCAUGCACGUGAGCCACCUUGAAAGCAAAUCCUGCAACCCUAGUCAAGCCUUCAGAUUACUUUUUAAAAAAAAAAAAAAAAAGACAUGGUCUUCCUCUGUCACCCAGGCUGGAAUGCAGUGGCACAACCACAGCUCACUGAAGCCUCAACCUGUCGAUCUGCUGGGCUCAAGCAGUCCUCCCACCUCAGCCUCCCGAGCAGCUGGGACUACAAGUGUGUGCCACCAUGCCUGGCUAAUUUUUAAAUUUUUUUGUAGAGACGAGGUCUCACUAUUGUUGCCCAGGCUGGUCUUGAACUCCUGAGCUCAAGCGAUUCUCCUACCUUGGCCUCCCAAAGUGCUGGGAUUACAGGUGUUAGCCACCGCACCCAGCCUGCAACCUCUUAAGAGUCAGAAUCACUCAGCUAAGUGACUCUUGGAUUCUUCACCCAGAGUAAUUGUAGAGGAUAAUAAAUGUUUGUGAACAGUCAAAAGGUUGAAAAUGUUAUAAGAAGUUGCUUUAAAGAGCAGCUCAUAAAUCAAUCUUUGUAGGAAAGCUGACAAUUUCCAACUAUGGGGUACAGAAGUUGGGCCUUGGAGUAUACUAGGUAAUUCAUUUUCUUAAAACUGAGGACCAGACCAGGUACUCUGUACCUCCAGUAAAGAUCAAUGAUCACAAGGGAGAGUCACACAGGAACUAAUGGAAGAAAAGGAACCCAAACUCAGACUCCUGCUGCUCCCCUCUCAUUACUCGUCACAUGCUUAGUUUUUUAGACCAUUUCUGCCAAAGUAAACAACAGUAAAUAACAGCCCAACUUACCUUUACAUCUGUAUUUCCUACUCCUUUUAUUUCAGGCACCCAUGAGUCAAACCAAACAGAACCAACCACCAGUCAAGAAAAUUACGCCUUCUUAAAAACUAAUCUAUACCUCCUACCACACACACAAUGUGAUUUUUCAUACAAAUCACAUUGUAUUACACUUCAAACAUCUCACUUGAGUUCUAAUUAUGAAGGCAGGGUCAUGUUUUAUGUUUUUGUGUACCUGAGGCUUAACACAGCACCUCUAGGCAUAUUUCAGUAAAUACAGCUGGUAUACGUCGUGCCAUUUGACUUCUGUAUUUUAGUUCCUUCUGCUUUAUCAUCUUAGAACACACCCUUCUCAUAUACCUCUGUAUCUAAAAUCCUGGCUUACUUCAAGUAUCAUCCCAAAGAAAUAUUCUAAUUUCUACUACCACCUACCCCCAUUGUCAUCCUACCUCAUAUAAAACAGAAGUAAUCCCUACCUCAUCUGAACCCCCACAGAAUCUAGAUCUCCUACAUUAAAUCUUAGUUGAAUGAAUUAAGAGAUUGAGUUCAGGACUCGUCUCCUGGAAGUCUUCCUUGAAUCUGCCCUCCUUUGCUCUAUCCCAACAUGCACUACAAUGUAUUAAAUCAUUUGUGUGCAUGCUCCACCAGCAUACCCUUCCUUCUCUGAUGGCACCUAGAAAGGAUCAACAUGCUUUCAGGACACUAUCAAAAACAGUGUUACCACACUGACAGUAUGGCCAUUCUCAUCUUAGAAAUGCCUCUUUCAACUAAAAAUGAAUAUUCUUUCUUUUUUAGAUAGCAGAUAUAUCAAUUUACAUGAAGAGUUCGAAGGCUAGAACAAUAAGCCCAGGUACAUUAAGACUAAUGGUAGAAAAUCGGAGGUACCAAGGCCCUAUGAAAACCAAAACCACCCCACCUUCUUUGCUGCUGGCCAGAUUUUGGCAGCUGAACUCAGUUAAAGUUCAUGUUCCUGUUUUCUUGAUAGAUGUCAAAAUGUAAUCUAGAGCCUGCUAUUCAGUAUCACCUGGAUGCUUGUCAGGAAUGCACUCUCAAAUGGUCCAGCCACCUUAGAAAAUAGUUUCCCGGUUCUUUAAAAUGUUAGUUACCAUAUGACCCAAUAAUUCCACUCCUAGGUAUAUUCCCAACAGAAAUGAAAACAUACUUUCACACAAAAUCUUGUACAUAAAUGUUCAUAGCUGUAUUAUUCAUAAUAGCCAAAAAAUGGAAACUGAUGCAGGGACACAGAAAACGUGCUAUAGCCAUACAAUGGAGUAUUAUUCAGCCACAAAAAGGAAUGAAGUACUGAUACAUGCUACAACAUCGAUGAACCUUGAACACUAAGUGAAAGACGCCAGGUACAGAAGUCUAUAAAACGUUAUGAAAUGUCCAGAAGAUAUAAAUUAAGGCAGAAAGUGGAUUAACAGUUGCCAGAUGCUGGUGGAGGGGAAAAGGGUGGAAGGGAGAGGGGGAUGGGGAGUGAUAGGUACAAGGUUUCUUUUUCAGCACGGUGAAAAUGUCCUGAAAUUAGAAUGGUGAUAGUGGAACAACUCUACAUGCUAAAAAACAGUUAAUUGGACAGUUUUAAAGAGUGAAUUUUAUGGUAUGUGAAAUAUAUUUCAAACUACUUUUAAAAAAAGAGAAAAUAAAUUCAAAUUCUCCAGGUUGACCCCAGACCUACUAAAUCAAAAUCUGCAUUUUAACAAGAUCCCUGGUGAUUCCCAUACACACUGAAGUUUGAGAAACAGUGAUUUAAAAGAUACAUGGUCAAAAUUGUUCCUCUGGUUAAUCUCAUUCACAGAAUAGUUAACUUGAUUUCACUAGGGUGAAUUUUUUCUGCCACAAUUGCUUGCUAUACAAUUAAAUGCUCAUAUUGAUUCUACAACUUCUGGUUUUUCCCUCAAAAAUUUGCAAAGUUUUAGUACUGGUUGGAACCUGCACCGAACUAGGAGCAAAGCCUUGGCACUUUUUCUUUUUUCUAUUGAGACAGGGUCUCGCUUUGUCGCCCAGGCUGGAGUGCAGUGGCUUGUUCUCAGCUCACUGCAGCGUUGACCUCCCAGGAUCAAGUGACCCUCCCACCUCUCAGCCUCCCAAGUAGCUGGGGUGAGAGGUGCACAACAUCAGGCCCAGUUAACUUUCUGUCUUUUUAGUAGAGAUGGGGUUUUGCCACGUUGACCAGGCUGGUCUCGAACUCCUUAGCUCAAGCAAUCCUCCUGCCUGAGGCCUCCCAAAGUGCUAGGAUUAUAGGUGUGUGCCACCACAUCCGGCACACAUGUAUUUUUUAAUCCUCAACAGUACUGGGUAUAUAGAAGAUGCUGUCACUUUAAUUAAACCACCAGUUUUGAAGGGAGUGGCAAUAACAUACGUAAAGUGAACAAAGAAGGUAGAGAAUCUAAUGGGAAAUAAGACAAAAAAAACUCACUCACUUCAGAAAAGUUUAUUAAAGGUAAAAUCAGAUUUACAGAGUAUAAAACAAUAAGGGAUAGAGGUGAAGAGGUUUCAAACAAACUAUGAGUACAAUAGAAAGUAAAUUACCUACCUGGGGUUCUCACAGCACUUUUUCUUUACUUCUGCACAAAGCCUAAUGUGUUUUUUAAAAAAUCCUUGGAAAAGUCUCAGCAGUCAUAUAUUCUCAUGAUUUAGCAGUUAAACAAAAUGUCCACAAUCCACAAAGAAAGAGGGGUGGACCUAAGUGACAGGGUACUAAACAUAUAUACUAUGAUAAGCUCUGCUUCCUCUGUUCCAGUUCUUUAAAUUUUGUGUCUGUGUUUUUUGGGGAAACGGUUAUCAUGCAAAAUGACUGUCUUGGAAGCAGGAGUUGAGGAAAGGAAAUUCUGGGCUCUCUAAAAAGCCUUCUUGCCUCCUUGGUGCAGUAAGCAGCAUGUCUUGUAAAAAGCCUAACUUCUACCAGACUUAUAACCAUAUUAUGCAAUUGGUACUUUUUUAACUAAGCAAAUUUUAUAAAGAAUUUGAAACGUUUUGUGGGUACUUAUAGCCAGGUACUGCACAUAAAUAUCACACUCAAAUUAAGAGUGCAGGCUCUGCAAUCAGCCUGUAUGGGUUCAAAUAUUGAUCCCAGAUCACAGUUAUGCAAACUUAGGCCAAGUUACUUAAUUUUUCUGCCUUCCUUUAACAAUAAGCUUUAGUAUUAGUACAUACCUCAGAGAACAGUUAUGAGAAUUAAAAAAAUAUACGUAGUUUAAAACAGUACCUGGCACACACGAGUAUUUAGUGUAGAUGCACACAGAGCUUCUUUCAUAUAGAAUGUGUCAUAUUCAGAUUUACACACUAGUUAUUAGUGUUAAUGGGAAAAUGGAAUUAGCCUCAUUUUAUUAGAUUUUGAUUCCCUAAACUACAAUUCUAUCUGUAUCAUGUCAAUAAAAAUGAACUCCUUGAGCACAUGAACUAUAUGCUAGUCUACCUUUGUAUACUCCAGGAUGGCGGAAUGUGUCUUUUUACCACAUGAGGUGAUGCCAUUAGUAUAUUCCAGGGCCUGGCACGACAUCUAUUACAUGGGUGUGUAAUAAAUGUGGAAUAAUUUAUUUCUGGUAAUUUAUGGAUUAUCUACAAAACCAAUAUAAGUGGAUGUUAUUAGAGACCUUUAAAAACCUAUAAUUUUACUCAUAUUUGCUGCAAAUAAGAGUAAUGCAAAUGUAAUGCUGAAUGGAACUUUUGAGGCAUUAAAGAUUUUUUUCCUAUAUAGUGAGGAAUAAAACUAAGACUUGAUUGAAAUAACUUUUUUAAAAAAAAGGAUUUGAGCACAACAGGACAACAAAAAUUGGCCCUUUGUACACUUCGGUGCAAUUUCUGUCUUAGCUGCUGAGAAGCAGAGGAAAAGCACCACCUUGCUCAGAAACUACCUUCUCCACAAUACUGAGAAACACACCAAACAGGGGCAAGGCUUUUUGAAGCUAGGAAUAAAGAAGCUGCCCAUCUUUACUAAUAGGAAACAACGGGUUUUAAGGUACCCAGUAAGAGUCUUUCUUCAAAACAGACAUCUCACUUACCUUUUCAGUAUACUUCCUAAAAACAUUAAAGACAGAUGUAAGGCUUAGCUGGUAAUUUCCAUGAACUCAGUCUUUUCCUCUGACUGUGGUGGAGCAGACACGAUUAAGCAGGUUUGGAAAUGCUAGAAAUGAAUUCCUACUUCCCCUUGUAUUCUUCAGAUCUCAUUUUCCCCCAAAUUUCUGCAGUGGUUGGCUUCCAUUUCAGCAUCAGUCACGAAAUCUUGAAGGUCAGACACAGUAAACAGGGAAGGACAUAAAAUUAAGUGAUUUGGGCGUAGUUUUGAGUCUCACAACUUUAACAGGGAUGAGUCAUACAUUAAAGUAUGUCGAAAUAAAUUACAAGUUCUGUUCCUUAACGAAAAUCAACUCUUAGUCAAGCUAAAGGUAUUAGUUUGCUAUAGUCUGAAAUUCUGUAUGUUCCUUUAAUAAAUGUUGAGGGGAAAAAAGAUGUAAUUCCCAUGAAGACCAAACACAAGUUGAUCAAUUCAGUGUGAGUCUUUGUCCUUGAUUUAUUUUGCAGUACAAAUGUGUAAAGGAAAAAACAAAGGGAAUAAAAAAUACUAGCAGAUUGUUCUAAGUGAUUUUCCAAUUUGCCAAUCAAAUUUGAAGUAUUUUAUUUACCUACCAAUUAAGUCAGAAAAAAGGAAGUGAAUGUUAAAUGAUUAUUAGUAGUAUAAGCUUUAAGUUUAAAAGAUAAGGGUUAUUUAAUUCAACUGUUUUCUUGGUUAUAGGAAAUUAGCAUUCAAAUUAACUUCAUUAAGAUAGGAGAAAAAAUACUGAAUAAUUCAUCUGGAUGGAGUUAGCCAGGAAAUGUCUUUAUAUUUUGCAAAAUUAUAAAUUGAAACCAAAAUCUGAUAUACUUCUAGGUUAGCAAACAAAAUUCUUUUUAUUUGCUUCCUAUAAAUCAUUAAACAGGUUUGCUGUACUCACUCAGUGACACUUCAACUCCCUUUGAAACCCAAGUGACAGAACUAGGUCACUACUUUGGGAAUGGAAUUGUGAGUAGCUAGAUCAGAGAAACACUGAGACUGACAAAACUUGCUUUUUUGGAAAAUGGAAGAAAAAGUCAUCAGUAUGCCAUAAGAGUUAGAGCAUUCUGACCAUAAAAUCAGGCAGUUAUCCUUGCUGACUGGUCCUGGAUUCCAAAUGACACAUUCCUUCUCAAUGUAUUCAAUCCAUCAGCAGCUCAGAAGCAAUCCACACUGGAGACCAUUUAAAAACGUGCAUUUUGCAAUAACCAUUAUCUAUCUUAGCAGCUAGAAAGGCAAAACAAAAGUUAGCAUAUCAAACUAUCUUUAGGGGCUAGAGCAGAAUAUGAAUUCAUUAACGAUAAAUAUAAUUACUAGAAACAAUGAAAACUGAUCCAGAGGAAUUUUAAGAAAACAAAAAAACCCUCAAAAUGUCUAUUAUGCCAAGUACGGUCAAAGUAUUCAAGCAUCCUCCUCCCUCUCCACAACUUCUAUUUUUUUCUCUCUUCUUUUUUCUUAAGGGGUGGGAGUCUUGCUAUGUUGCCCAGGCUGGAGUGCAGUGGCUAUUCACAAGUACAGUCAUUGUGCACUACAGCCUUGAAGGCCUGGGCUCAAGCCUCAGCCUCCCAACUAGCUGAGACUAGAGGCACAUACCACCGUCCCUGACUUACAACUUCUAUUUUCAGGUUAGAUUCCAGAAGUGUAAGAAGUAUAAAAUAUCAUGGAUGAUAUUUAGUAUUCACUAAACUGGAAGGAGAGCCAAUGAAUUUACUUAUACUGCCCAAUUAAAUAAUCAACAUUGAACUCAUCUUCAAUCCCAGAAAAAUCCAUGAAUGAAAACUGGACAUAGCAACAAUUGCUACUGAUGCCAGACUGAAAUAGCAAAGGGCAAGAGGAAUUCAUGCUACCUACUCUUCACUUUAUAAAGAAAAAUAAAGAAAAAAUAAAUUUAAAAAAGAAAAGGAAUUUCAUUUUUUCUGAGGAAAAAAACUGAGAAAUUAAGUAAGACAGAGUUUGCAAAUAUAUGAAUGCUGGGCUCAAUGUUUCUUAGUUUGCAGUUAAAAAGAAACAUUCACAAGGAAAACAAAUGUACAUGUAAGUCACUUUCAAAGCAAAAAGAUACUGCUUGGCCGGGGAUGGUGGCUCACGCCUGUAGACUCAGCUACUUGGGAGGCUGAGGCAGGAGACUCGCUUGAACCCGGGAGGCAGAGGUUGCAGUGAGCCAAAGUCACACCACUGCACUCCAGCCUGGAGGACUGAGACUCAGUCUCAAAACAAACCAAACAAAUAAAAAAACCAAAGCAAAAAGACACUGCUCAAAGCUAAUCCAUGGGCAGUACCUGCAUUAAAACUGUUAUCUGCAAAUAAGGCAAAAAUAAAUACUGUUUGUUGCAGAGUGGAAAUGCAUCCUAGAUUGGAUUAAGCUAAGAGGCUUGAGAGGUGGCAACCACGGACUUCUGCUCUUAGACAUCCUGGUUUGUAAUAUUUUGUUGUUCUGACAGCCAACUUGAUCAUUCUUCCUUGCAUUAUAAAUUUUCACAGUAAAUCUUACCUUCGGGGUCAGUGGUAACACCUAUAAUACUUGUUUGUAUUUAAAAUCCUCUAAUAUCCAAUACAUUUAAUCACAGCCUCACUGACAUCUCAAUUGCCCUUGAGACUCAAAACAGAGGGGGAACUUCUGAGAAAUGUAAUUAUUAUACCUCUGUGCUUAGGUUGAAGACAACUUCAUGAUCUGGAGAAUUAAUUACUUUUUGUUUCUCUUCAUGCCUGGUUUAUAAGAAACUGAACAUUGGACAUGAGAAAAAGUAGAGGUCCUAUCACUUUACAGGUGUUUUUAUCAUUCAUUUGAAGUCUAUUCCAAAGACAUCAGUUAUCCCACAUAUAAAGGUGCAUAUAAACUCUCACUUCAAAGUUAAACUACUCUGAGCUAUUCAUAUUUGCAUUCUUCUCUAAUGGUGUAAAUAAUCAAGAACCAGAGAAGUUACGCCUUCAUCGUAACAGCCAUAUUUCUCUGGCCUAUAUAGCAAAUCCAGUUACAUUUUAAAGUGUGUGCGUGGUUCUUUAAAACAUUAAUUUCAAACACAUGAAUAACAUUAUUGUUUUAUUUAACCCAAUAUUCAGUGAUCCCUGACUGGGUUGGGCUCAGUAACAUGUCUUUCAAAAACAAAAAAAAUACUAGACUCAUAUAUAUUUUUUGAGUAAAGCUGCUGGCUUUGUCUCCAUACUUCCACUCUGUUCUCUUGACUCAGUUCUCAAUUCAGGGCCAAAGUCAAGAGCAAAACUGAACCUGUAGGCUAGUCCUUGGUAAAAGUAAGGCAAAAUGGCAACUGACUUGGCAAUCUCUCCCAAUUUGGGGAUGCCCUGGACACAGUAAGCAGAGUCAAAUGUAAACUACGUCCUAAGAAAAUGGCAAUUUCUGUAGUCUCAGGUCAUGAAAAUACAUUUUUAAAAACUAAUUGUCUGUUAAAAUUAUUUUAGUUGUGAAAUGUUAACAAUAUCAGGAUAAGGAGUUAGACAAAAAAUCUUGGACAUAAUUUCCAGUUUUUUCCUAUAUAUACUUUCUCAACAAUCUAAAGCCACCAAAAUUCUCUUCAUGAAGUCUUAUCCUAUCUGUUGCCUAAUGAUGAUGAAGGAGAUCAGAUUUGGGAUUUACAGAUGUCCUCCUCUGGAGACGCUUUUGCUCUGGGACUGAUGGAUACCAGUGCUGUUAGUCAUUUCUGCUACCUGGAUACAGAGCAUCUGGUGUAAAUUUGUGCAUCCAGCCUGGCUCCCAUUUUCCCCCAACAGCAUGCUUAAGGAAUGAAAUGCUCAUUUCAUGUUAGUUGUAAGCAAUCUACAUACAAAGCAUAUCAGGGUACAAAUUACUUAAUAUGUAUUUUUAUCAUCUCCUACCUCCCUAAUGCUGAACCCCACUCCAUUCCCUGCAAACUUUUGUUUUAAAUUUUAAUUUGAGAAAAUAUUUUUCCUACAUAAUUGUCUUCUCCUAACAUCUGUGGACAUUCUUCCCACUUUCUUUGAAAAAGAUAUUAUAUCAUGCUUCUGGAAAUUAAGGGGAAAAAAUCAGUGCUAAAACUAGAGGUUGAAACUAGAGGCAGAUCUAUAGUAGAAGUAUAUAUUACUUUUCAUAAAAAUUCUCACCCAAAAAGUCCUAUCAAAGGGGUUGCAAAGUUUAUCUGGUUACCACCCUCCUCCCUUUCUUCUUGCCUUUGGUCCCAUGAGUGAGCCUUAGAAAUCAUGGUCACCAGCAGACUGCCAGGGACAAAGUGAAUGGAAGUUACUUUUGAGAAGGGGGAUUCAGGCUGGGCAUGGUGGCUCACGCCUGUACUCCCAGAACUUUGGGAGGCUGAGACGGGUGGAUGACCUGAGGUCAAAAGUUCGAGACCAGCGUGACCAACGCAGUGAAACCCCAUCUCUACCAAAAAGACAAAAAUCAGCCAGGUGUGGUGGCAGGCACCUGUAGUCCCAGCUACUCAGGAAGCUGAGGCAGGAGAACUGCUUGAACCUGAAAGGUGGAAGUUGCAGUGAGCCAAGAUUAUGCCACUGCACUCUAGCCCGGGCGACAGAGUGAGAUUCAGUCUCAGAAAAAAAAAAAAAAAAAAAAAAGAGAAGGCGGAUUCCAUCUUCCCUUUAGGUAGAGAUGUGGCAUGGAAGCAGUGACUGAAGCUACUGUAGUUUCAUUGGCCAAAGGUUAUAAAUUUCUAGCCCAAACUUUCAAAGGAAAAUGUCACCACUAUCUUUUAAUCAUAGGUAAAUCAGUUAUUACCCUCUUCCUCUUUCAUGAAAAUACUAACAUAUGUACUCUAAUACCAUGAUACAGCGCUAUUAAUCAGGCCCUUAUUUUUCAAUCUAAACUGAACUUUCAAGUAACUUUUAAAAAAAUGCCAAAGCAAGGAAGAAAAGUGAGAAAAUUUGUAUUCGAUUCUACAGUUAUAUAAUCUGUGGGGGUAGUCACUUUCAAAAUAAAUGGACAUUUUCAUAUGUCAAUAGCCACACUUGUAUUAUUUACACCAUUUCUCCUUGCUUUAUGAAACAAAUUUAUAUAUAUAUAUAUCAGAUGAAAUUUCCUACUGACAACAAUUUCAAAGAUGCCUUACCAUCUUUGUAUUUUUUUUUUACAAAAUUGACGAAACUUGUAUAUAUUUACCAUAUGAUGCUUACCAUCUUUAUUUCUGAUUACUCUUAAGCAGCAUCUUCUCCUUUCCUCCACUAACUUUUUUAAAAAGUAAAUUCUUCAGUGGACUAAUGGUUCCAUCUGAUUGAUACCUUGGGUGAAAUUCCUAAUUUUAUCUUGCUAAAUAACUUAGUUUACUAUAAUAUAAACAGAAUGUACAAAGUGGAAUAUUUUUAAUAUAUUCUUAAUCUCAACCUUUCCUAGAAUUCCAUCAAAGGUUUGUUCUGAAAGAUAUGAUAAAGACAAAUCAAAGCAGGAAGAGAUCUAGGUUUGUAAAAAUACAGUUUAAAAAAAAAAGGAAGAGAAUUUAUAUUAUGCAUUUGCAGAAGCUCUUGUUCUCAUAGAUUUUGCAGAACUAGUCCUUUUCAAUCAUUUAACUAGGAAGUUCUACUCCAAGUGAAUAAAGUUUAAGCAAACUUCAAGUAACUCCAAGUAAAAGACAUUGAAGACAACUAGUUUCCAAAGAACACUUGUUUGACAGAAUUAAUGACUAAAUUAACCUUAAAAUUUAAAAAUGUGUGACAUACCUUGUUAAUAAUUAAAAUAAAGGCUGUUUUAAAGCAACUUUAUGAAGCAAAAGAGUAAGUCACUUCCAAGGUUCCUUGGUCUUCUGCAACUUCUAGGCACGGAAAAGAACUUACAAGGACAUGCAGGGUUCACUGUGGUAUGUCUGUCUCAGGUAUGUGAGAUAUGAUAUGGGGCUUAAAUCCAAUAAGGGCUCUGGGGAAAUAAGAAAGCAUUUAGGGACAAAGCAGGCCUGAUUCUGAAAAACUGAAACCAUGUUUUAGAUUCACGUUUGCUAUUCACUUUACGAUUAAGUAAUUCAAGUCUUCUGGAUAAAAUUUCACACAGAAGGGAAAUACUACGAAGUCCUAAGUAUGUCCUAAUGUAACAUGAGAUAACCUUUCUUGACCUUUGUGAUUAAGGGAAUUGAUGCUCUAUUUAUAAAAAUAAAAGAGAAAUGAAAUAUAAGUAACUGUUUUGGCUUAAACAAUAUCAUUUAAAUUGUUUCAUAAACAAUUUUUUUUCAGAUUGAACAUGCCAAGUAUGCAACUAAACAAUAAGAAAAUUUUCACAACCCUAAUGUUAGAAAAUGUUCCAUUUUAUACUUUUUACCUAUGUCCUUCUUCAAGCCUGAGUGCUCCAAUACAUGCUAGUGGAAAAAAAAAUCAAAAUUAGCAUUAACAUAAAGAUUUUCAAUUAAUACUAUAAAUAGAAUCCCCAGAGGGGAAAAAGGCCAGAAUAAAAUAAACUCAAAUAUGUGACUGAAUGAGUAACCCUUGAGACAUACAAAAUCAAACUGUAUUACUUACCAAACCUCUACACCAUCUCCUGACAGAUAUCCAGAAAAAAACUGGGAAAUCUAAAAUGUAUCAUAAAUUGGCAGAGAACACUUUAAUAGCCCUCCCCCUAAACAAUAUAAUUCAAAAUGGAAAUUUCUAAAAUAAUUAAGUAUUAUCAUUCUGAAGUGUCUUAUAUAAUUUCUAAACUUAUGAAUACAUUUCCAGAGUUUUCUGCGCCCAAGGAUGCUAAAACCAUUCAAAAAGAAAGGGGGAGAAAAAAAGAAGAAAAGCAAAAGUUAAAGCUUAUAUAUAACGAGAAAAAUCCAAAACAGACCAUAGGGUAGAGAGAAGAUGAGGGGAGAAGAAAGAAAGGAAAAGAGACAACACCAAAGUUAAAAAGCAAAGCAAAAUGAAAACCUUUUAUCUAUAGCACUUUGGGGCUCUAUUUUGUAAAGACUAGUUAUUAUGAUUUGAAUGAUAGCUCAAUGACUAAAUACUUGCUGUAAACUUGAAAAAAAAAAAAAAGGUGAAUUAAACCUCCCUGCACCUCAGUGUCUUCAUCUGUAAAGUGGAAUUAUUAUUUUAAAGAACACCUAAAAAGUACUUUAAAAAAAAAAUUUCAAGAUGGCAGUCCUCUCACCUUGGCCUCAGAAAGUGCUGGGAUUAUACAGGUGUGAGCCUAAAAAGCAAUUUGAACAGCACUUGGCACUUACUAAGCACUUAACAAAUACUAGCUAUUAGAAUUAGAUAAGAGUAUAUAUUUAAAUAGUAUUUUAUACACUAUUUUUAUUUUUGCAAGGGAAAAGCAGUGAUCUCCCUGAGGGGCUCCCUGAAUGGCUGGAAUUUCAGCUUCAGGGUUUGACAAUGUAUCUAAUGAUAUUUAACUUUCAGAAUAGCUUCAGGUACAUUCUGCAAAAUACUCUUGACGAAGUAGCUGACCCAAAUAUGGCAGCACUCCUCUUGCCUGGCAUCAAUUAAUACUAUUGAUAUUAGAAAAGAGAUGGAAGGCAGAACGCCCUUAAAUAUAGUAUCAGCACCCUUAAUCAUGGGUAAACUGAAUGCUCAAGUUUGCUGUGGGGAUAACCAAAUCCACCAAGACAUACUUAAUUCAACCAACUUAAUUUAUUUUAUUCCUUUCCUCUAAAAAACUCAAGCUCAAGCUUUUGUACAUACAAAGAAUCACACAUAUAUCAAUCACAAAAUAUGGAAAAGAAAGUAUCCUGCAAUGCUAACUAAGGUCAGGGGUAACAGAAGCACACAACAGCAGAUUAAAUUUUAAAAAUUUAAACCUUUAGAAUAAACCUUCUGGUGUUUUUUUUUUUUAGUUUUUAAAUUCAAAACUCCCCACACAGUAAGUCUAACAUAAAAAAUAUAUUGUAACUAGCUCUAAAGAGCUAAAUAUGUAUUGCUAGAGAAAGGUAAGAAUGAAAAAAAAGAACCAGAAAGGUAAAUUUUUAGUUGUAGUAUCUAUAGUUAUCACAAACUAGCCAUACAAUUAUCACUUAACCUUUCUGGGCCUCAGUUUUCUCACAGUAAAACAGGGAUACUACUACCUAAAUCAAGGUUAUUGUGGAUAUAAAGAUAAUACAAACCACCUAGCGUCGUGUGUCUGGCAUAUAAUAGUACUCAAUGAAUGAGUACUAUUCCUAUAAAUGGGGGAGGAAGGGUGUUGCAUUAGAUAUCAAGUCUAAGGUCAAAAUAUCAAGAAGCCUUUCUUAUUCAUACAUUUCCUCAGGAAGAGACAGCUAAGGCAUAAACACCAUAAGAAGGCACGUCUAACAGACUCCGUCUAAGGCAGUUUAUCACCACAAUUAAAUAAUUCUUUUCAACAGUUUUACCUAUAGCAUGGAUAACUACAGCGAUAUGCACAUAGACCACAAUAACAUGACAGUACCUUUGCUUUCAGAAAACACAACAGAAUACGAUAUGUACCCACCUAUGCAAUUUUUAGGAAUAGAAACAACUGGGAAAACAACUGGGUUGUUUUCUGCCAUUUGGUCUGUGAUCGUUCAUGAAGUGGGAUUUUGACAACUGUGAAGCAAGAGACUGCUCUAUAAUAGUCAAGAGCAGGAAAUCGUCAGUUUUGCCCUCCAAACCUCUGAACGCAAACUCUCAUAUGGACUAAUCCUAACCAUUUUAUUAUUUUCUAUUUACAGAUUUUGUUACCCACAGAAUCUAGAUAUUAAGAUUCAGUCCAAAUUUGUUGUCUGUCACUUAAAUAAUUCCAAAUACCCCCUGAAGAGGGCCACUGGUUGGGGCCUGUAAGUUAUUUUGUACAUGACUCAACCAUAUAUUUCUAUUAUUUCAUCAGUGACAACACAUUCCAAUCUUUGUCUUAGGAAAAUGAAAUAACUGCCAAAAUAAUUGCUAGAAAGUAAUGGGUUAAAGAAAGGUGGACCAAAGUAUGGGGAAAAAAAUCAGCAUCACCUUCCUAAGGAUGACAGAAAAGUCUUAGGCAGAAUUGCAGACAGAUUGGGAAAUUAAUAAAAGGUUUAAAGGAAACAUAAGAUGCCAAGGAAGUAUAUGAAAGUUCUCAAACUUCAAGAAUUUAAACUUGACACCAUGACAUAGUAGGCAUGUGGGUGUCUGUGUGAUGAUUAUGACAACUGCGUAGGACAAAUAGGGUAGUAUGAGGGAUUGGGCAGGAUGACGAGGAAGAGGAAUAAUAAUCUAGCAACCAACUUUUAAGGCCCACAGCAGUGCUUCCUACCCUAUUAAGUCUUGGAUUUUGGAAUAUAUUAGACUAAAUAUGAAUUAAUUUUGUCUCCUUUAACAGAACAUUAGCUCCAUAGGAGAGAGCCUGUCUUACUCACUGUCGUAUUUUCAGUACCUAGAAUAUCUAACAUAAAAAUGACCUUCUAACAUUCAAAAUAGUCUGAAUCUGAUAUAAAAGCUGUUGUAAUUAAUAAAAGAUAAUUCACUUACAAAAUAUUGCUGAAUUCCUAGAAUCUUUUUAAUGUAAGUUUUCUAAUCAACUGAUUACAACUCCAAUCAAGUACUAAACUAUAGCUGUUAUUUCUUAUGGCUGGUCUGGUAUUUUUUUCUACAUUGGUUCCAAGUCAUUAUCCUAAAAGAAAGGUUAAAAAACACCACCUUAGGAUAUUGGAUUAAUGACUAGAGAUAUUAAGAAAAAGACAUCAUAGAGAAGAAUCACCACGACUUAACAGAAAAUUCAACAAAAAGAACUAUUAAGAUUUCAAUUGGUGGGAUCAAAAGGUGUUUCUCAAACUCACAAUUUUCAUGGCUAAGCCUAUAAGGUUUUCUUUCCUUUGCCAAAUGUUCCCCCUGUAUACCCGUGACUGCACAGUGCCAGUGCCUGGAACACUGAUAUUCACUACAUGUUUCUAAGUGAACAAAUGCUUGUAACUGUCUUUUAACAUUAUCAAGUUUCAUGUGAUCUGGAGGCACAUACGAGAUUGUAGACUGAAAGACUGGGGUUAGAGAUAUGACUUGAGAGUAUAUUAAAAUCCAGUAGAGCCCCAACCAAUGGAUGAAGCCCCUAAUGAGGGAUAAAAAGACAUGGGAAGAGGUGUUAUAGGGCCAACAAAAUACACGGAAUUAUGGAUCAAACAGAACCAGCAAAAGCUAGAACAGUUUGGAAGUUUAUCCAACUGUGUCAAAAAUAAAGGAUCAAGAAUAACAACCGGGAGGAAAAAGGCAGCUGAAAUGACCUGAAGAUUACUGCUGCUAUCACCCACUGGCUUUGACUGAACAGCAACUAAAUUCUGUAACUAAUCCCAGGCAGAACACAGCUAGAUAGAACCCCAAAGCAACUGAGGGCACCUUGUAAGUCAGAUAGAUACCCAUUUGAAAUUCUGAAGUUGGUCUUGGUGCUAAAUAUAACUACAGCCAGUCUGGCUUUCAUUAAUACCUUCCAGGUCAUUAAGUAAGUCCCAGUUCUGAUAUUGCUGGCUAUUUAUUCAAUCAACAAGAUAUACAUAUGACCUGUUACUAUUAGAGAACAAAUUUUCUUGGCUGGAUGAGGUGGCUCAUGCCUGGAAUCCCAGCACUUUGGGAGGCCAAGGUGGGCGGAUCACUUGAAGUCAGCAGUUCUGAGACCCGCCUGGUCAACAUGGUGAAACUCCAUCUCUAUUAAAAACGCAAAAAUUAGCCGUGUGUGGUGGUGCACACCUAUAGUCCCAGCUUCUCGGGAGGCUGAGGUGGGAGAACUGCUUGAACCCAGGAGGCGGACGCUGCAGUGAGCUGAGAUCAAGCCACUGCACUCCAGCCUUGGCGACAGAGCAAGAUUCUGUCUCAAAAAAAAAAAAAGAAAAGAAAAAAAAAAGCCAAUAGGUUUUCUCAAAGUUAACAGGAGAUCAGGAUGCCAUUUAGCUUUGCUUAUGAAUUCCACUACAGCCUUUCUCCAGGAAUCAAAGUUAGUGAAAAACUACCAGGAAAUAAAUUCUGGUUCUUUUUUUUUUUUGUUGGCCAGGCUGGUCUUGAACUCCUGACCUCAGGUAAUCCACCCACUUCAGCCUCCAAAAAUGCUGGGAUUAUAGGCAUGAGCCACCGCACCCAGCCUAAUGCCUCACUUCUAAAACACACACACACACAAACAGAAAGAUAACAACUGGGGAUAAUUUGGAAGGAUUUUUUUUUUUAAGGAUGAUUAACACGACACAAAACCAUGGUUAAUACAUAUGCAUCCAGCAUACUUCAUUACCUUCCAGUAGCCACUUCAAAGACGUAAUAGAAAGCCAGGGAAGGUACAAAACAGUGAAAAGGAAGUAUUCACAGAAAUAAAGUGGCUUUUGACUUCAAAGAAUAAGAACUCCAAUCUGGAGAGAAGAAGUUAAGGAUAAAAUUGAAUUACACGUAAAAUUGUAGUAAGUUGCAGAUAAAAUACCACAGCCUGGCUCAAUCUUAUUAAAAACAAUUUGAAACAAAUUCUGAAACACUCUAACUAGGAGAUAAUUGGAAACUGGCGAAAGUGUUGAAUCACAAAAUGUUUAGUAAAUGUGUGACAAAAGUCACAAGCACGAAAAAAGCAGUUUGAGAAAUUAGUAAAGUCUCAAAAAGGGCAUUGUUCAAUUAGUGAAGGCUUACUGACAGCACACAAUUUACAAAACGGAAGUUUCUGAGCUAUUGAGAGGCUAUCAUUAAUCUUAAUAUCACAACAGAAAAUAAUUUUUGUUCUUUUUUCUGGAAUACCAGUUGUUGGCCCCACCUAUAGUCCCGGGCUGGAGAAACUAUUAGCAUAACCAGCUAGUGAGUAGUAUCCCAGUUUUUCAAAGAAGCCUAAUGACAUUUACCUAACAUGACUGCACAGAACAAGUAAAAUCCAGAAGGCAGUACACAGUGGUGUUAUAUAUGAGUUCUGGGCCAGGUGCAGUGGCUCAAAUCUAUAAUCCCAGCACUUUGGGAGGCUGAGGCAGGAGGAUCGCUUUGAGCCCAGGAAUUCGUGCCACUGCACUCCAGCCUGGGCGACGAAGUAAGACCCCAUCUCGUAAAACAAACAAAAAAUGAGUUCUGGUAUCAGAUCUACCUGGGUUCAAUACUAGAUGGGCGACUUCUAGUUGGCACGCCUUAGACUAAAAUAUGUGUGUCUAGUAUCCACAUUUAUACUUACUUUACAGGGUUAGUAUGAAGUUCAGUAAGUUAACAUAAGGUAUUUAAGACAAUGGCAGCAUGCUGGAAAUACUCAGUAUUAGUUUGCUUUUGAAUGAAAUUAUAACCAUUUCAAUGUGUUAACCUCAGUUCUCUCAUGCUAGAAGUUCCAGAUGGCAGUUUAUGGGUCUUAGAACUCUUUUUGUUAAAGAUAGGGUCUCGUUCUGUCAUCCAGGCUGGAGUGCAGCAGCAAGUGGCACCAUUAUGGCUCACUGGAGCCUCAACCUCCCCAGCUCAAGUGAUCCUCCCACCUCAGCUGGGACUAUAGGCAUGAUCUACCACACCCAGCUAAUUUUUGUAUUUUUUGUAGAGAUGGGGUUUCGCCACGUCGCCUAGGCUAGUCUCGAACUCCUGGGCUCAAGCAAUCUGCCUGCAUUGGCCUCACAAAGUGUGGGGAUUACAGGUACGAGCCAUUGCGCCUGGCUGGUCUUAGAACUCCUUAAAAAAGAAAAUGUUUAUGGGUGAAAAAUAAUAAAUAGAGAAUGAAGAGCUGAAAAGGCUGGUUUAGCCACUAGGCUAAACUAUGUAUUCUUAGGAGACAUGUAGUCCUGAGUUUUUUGUUUUGUUUUUAAAUAGGAGCUAUUAUCAUCUAUGUUUUCUUUCUAAAGAAAUCACCUCAGCAGUCACUUCUGUCAAAUGUACUAAUGUUCUAUAAUAUAAAAAAUGUAUAUCAGACACUAGAUUAACCAGUUUCAUAAGUCAUAGUGAGGAAUGGAAAAGCUUGAUUUCAUCGGGAACCUUAUGAGUUACAGGAAAUGGAUUAAACUGUUAUUUUUGGUAAAUCUAUUCCAUUUUAACCAAGCAACAUCUGUAUGUCUGUUUUUCUUCAGGGAGGGAGAAAUGGUUCAGAAAAGUGAUCAUUACUUCAGUUCUGACCAAGGAUUUCUCACAUGAAGCUUUAAGUUUUCAGCAAUGGAAAAAUAUUAGGAAACCUACCUUCACCUUUGUUCCUUCAGAUUCACACAAUCACUCCACCUUUACAUUUUAAUAUUUUCUUUAAA